UUCUUUAGGCGAGGGGCUUUCUGGGUGCUGGAGGUGAGACGCGUGGAGAGCGGGGUAGUUGUGUGAAUGGAUGAAUGCCCGGGCUUGGGAAACGGGUGGCCAUGAGGAGAGCGAAAGAGCAAAGGAAAGAAAGGAGGAAGUAAAAAAAGUAAUAGGAGGAAAUUUCACUUAAAUUAAGACUUCAGCCUGGCGCCCUAGUGGGGGAAGCUAUUUGGCUGUGGAUGGUGGCAGCUGUAGUCCAAGCCCGUCGGAAGUGCCUGAUCCUGCCUAAUCUUGGGAGCCAAGCAGUGUCACCCUUAGUUAGAAUCUGGAUGGCGGACUCGAGUCCUGAACUGAGCAGGGGGUUGGACCCGACGGCCUUCCAGCUGCAUGUUUCCAUCAUUCCAAGGUGUCUGAAGAGCGCCAUGCUAGAGUGGGGAGGCUGGUUCGCCCCACAAAGGAGGUGACAUCUGGCCAUGAGGACUAGAAGCCUUGACAGCCUAUGAAGGUAUCCAGACCCCUUUCCAGGCCAUCCAGACUGGGGGCCAUCCCUCCUUGAGGCAGUGACUUCCAUGCGAGAUAAGCCGAAGGCGAUGAUGAGUCAAGUCUAGUCUGACCUGGUAUUGCUGCAACGUCCUGGCUCUGACCAGGACGUUUUGGCUCUGACCAGGACGUGAUCACGUAAUCUUCUCUCUGAGCAGAUUUUGGCUGUCUUCGUCAGGGUGCACUGUUCCCCUCAUUGUUGGCUUUUAAUCCUCACAGGGCCAUUUACCACUGGUGUGUCCUACUACAGUUCAUCAGCCCUUUUUGUGUGUUGUGUGUGGGUAGCAAACCAUGGUUUCUUAACACAGCUGGGUUCACACAGCCUACAAAGUGAUUCCAGCAGUGGGUUGUAUUAGCUGGGAUUAAUUGUCCCAGGGAUGUGAGUGUAAGCUAACCUACUGAACGGAAGAAUGGGAAAUGUCAGGUGUCCAGCUAGUGAGGCUUGGGCCCAAGCGCAAAAGGAAGAAUAUGCUCUAAAGAGAGGAAAUCCAUUCCUUGGUAUGGUGCUGCAGCAGAUCAUUUAAAUAUCUGCAGUUAGGCAGAUUGGAGAAAACUUCUGAAUGAGACCGCAAGAAUAACAGAAUGUUCCCAGAUUCAGUUUCAGCAUUAUUGAUGGAUAAAAUAGAAGUUCUGCCGAGCGCAACCCUUUGAGAAUUUCUACUGGCCAACCCUGUUUUAACCCAGUGCCUGAAGGGACAUCAGUGGCUGCAAGGCGCGUUCUCAGCAAAGAGGUGGGUGCUGGGAAUGGUAAAGACAAGAAUCCUUCCAAAGAAGCCCUCAGACGUUUCUGGCCUGCAGAACUUUGUUCACGACUCUGCUGGGAGCAUUUCUACACCGGCUGGGCCCUCACUCCGUGGCCAACAUGGAAAAAUUGGCCACUAUUUUGGCCACACUUGGUAGGCCAGUUAGAAAAAACCCUUCUAUUACUUGUCUUUUCAGCAUUAAUUGCAAUGCAAAUGAGGCCAGUCUGUCCUUCUGAAAGCAGCAUUGACCGAGAUUGCCAUGAGAGGGGCACAAAAGUCUCUAAUUUGCAUACAUGAGAAGCAGCAAAAGAGAGUGUUUUCCCGAAACAAUUGAUGCCCUUUUUUGCGGGGGGGGGCGGGCGGGCUUGGUAAGUGGCACUGCUUGUGGGUUUGUUUUCUUGAUCUGUACAAAACAGAAGUUGCUGAAUUUCAUAGAAGUUUUAAGAAUGUAGUCAAUUGUUUAUUCGGAAUAAAGGGUUUCUAUAUA